rnacentral:rRNA from 1 species
UACGGAGGGUGCAAGCGUUAUCCGGAUUCACUGGGUUUAAAGGGUGCGUAGGUGGGCAGGUAAGUCAGUGGUGAAAUCUCCGGGCUUAACUCGGAAACUGCCAUUGAUACUAUCUGUCUUGAAUACCGUGGAGGUCAGCGGAAUAUGUCAUGUAGCGGUGAAAUGCUUAGAUAUGACAUAGAACACCAAUUGCGAAGGCAGCUGGCUACACGAAUAUUGACGCUGAGGCACGAAAGCGUGGGGAUCAAACAGG